GCCGGGGUGGCGAAAUGGUAUACGCAAGGGAUUCAAAACCCCUCGUCGAAAGACAUGAGAGUUCAAGUCUCUCCCCCGGCACCA
rnacentral:tRNA from 1 species